rnacentral:rRNA from 1 species
UACGUAGGGCGCAAGCGUUGUCCGGAUUUAUUGGGCGUAAAGAGCUCGUAGGCGGUUUGUCGCGUCUUCCGUGAAAACUGGGGGCUUAACCCCGAGCCUGCAGUGGAUACGGGCAGACUAGAGGUAGGUAGGGGAGAAUGGAAUUCCCGGUGUAGCGGUGAAAUGCGCAGAUAUCGGGAGGAACACCGGUGGCGAAGGCGGUUCUCUGGGCCUUACCUGACGCUGAGGAGCGAAAGCGUGGGGAGCGAACAGG